AUGUCGAUCGAUGUUGAAGGAUUUAUAUCGAUAGAUGUUGAAGGCUUUAUAUAGAUCGAUGGUUGGUUUGCUCUGUCGAUCGUAUGCGUGUAUCGUGUUCUUCCUCAACCUGUUUCUGAUCGAUGUUGAUCUGCUUCAUCGCGUCUUUGUAUGUUUAAAAGUUCCUCAUUUGUGAAACCUUCAUGUACUUCAUCUGCUCCUGGCUCAUAUAUUGUUGUUUCUACUGCAUAGCUUUCGUGAUGGUGAUCAUCUGCCCAACUACCAAUUGAGUAGUAUCCUUCUCGCACUCGGUUCUCUUCUGUGUCG
rnacentral:lncRNA from 1 species